rnacentral:tRNA from 1 species
GCCGCCGUAGCUCAGCCUGGUUAGAGCGCCGGACUCAUACGGGACGCCCCGGUCCACCGGAGUCGGCCGCGGGGGUCCCUGGGGGAUCCGGCGGUCCCGGGUUCGAAUCCCGGCGGCGGCA